CGGAGAAGGACACGUGAAUUUGAAGAUAGAGACAGGUCUCAUCGGGAGGAAAUGGAGGUGAGAGUUUCACAGCUGCUGGCAGUAACUGGCAAGAAGACAACAAGACCCUAGUCCUGGAUCCAGUUUAGGUGGUGGUGAUGACCUCAAACUUCGCUAAUUAGUGGCACAAAAGAUGUGCCCCCCCACCCCGUCUUUACAUAUUCAUUUCUAGUCUGCAGAAAUAAUUGAUUAAAAGACCAGAAACUGUGAUAACUGGAGGUACUACGGUCUAUUUCUCAACCUUAGGCAGUAACAAGACAUCACAACUGCCAUGGUUUUGCACUAUGAUAUAAUACCUGCAUUUCUAAUUUUGUAUGCAUGUAGCCAGUAAUUAUUUGAAAUUUUCUUCUAUGCAAGCUUACCUUGUUGACAUUUUAGUGAGUUGAAACUAUCCACUUGUAAAGCUCUUUUUUUCCACCAUUUUAAUUUAAAAGUUCAUGUCAUUUUAAAACAGGUCAAGAAAUUAAAUUUUUUAUCAGAGGGUUUUUUCCCCUAAUCAGUUGCUCUAUUUUUUUUUUUUUAAUUUUAGAUGUGUUGGUUAUACAGCUUCAUUUUAGAUAAAUGUUCUUGUUUUUUUUGUUUUGUUUCCCGUUUCCUUCUGUGUUUUUAUAGUCUAUAGCAUUUUAAAACUGCUGAUGGUUUGCAUUAUUUACAAGCUAAAAACCUAGUAGCAUAGAGCUGUCUGCCACACGUUCUAACACAAAGUUUACAGUUGUUAAAGUUGCAGUAUCCUUUUAAAUGUUGAUAAUCAGCUCCUUUUCUUUCCUUUUUAAACAGAAAAAAAUUUUAAUUGGUAUUAACUCUGGUCUGCCCCAGAUCUGUUUUAGAUUCUGUUCUGUAUUCAUGAGUUUGUGUGGAGAUAUUCUCCAUAGAUGAUAAUAUUCUACUGAAAUGCCUAAAGAAGUCACAGGCUGGCUUCUGUUUUAUUCAGGGAUUUUUUUUUUAAAAGUCAAUCAGAAAAGGGAUACUGGAGCUUCUUCAUGUAUGUAACAGCAUAUUAAACUGGAGACAGUGAUGAAUCAGCUACAAAGGUAAUGUUGUAUUAAAAUCAUGUUUAAGAUAGCUGCUUUUAUGUGUAUUUUAUAAUGCAUGCUUUUGUAAAAACAAUUCUGGGUGAUGAAAGAUUAGUCUUAGAAAAUGUACAUCUGUGCAGAGGUUACAUUUUCUUCCAUUAGUUAUUCUGGAAAAAAAUUCACAGGUUAUAUAUAUGGUAUUUUCCAAAAGGACUAUUAAUAGAACCUUUUGAGAUGAAUUAGUAUAAGAAUAUUUUUAAAAUAGGCUCACUAUCAAAUUGAUUGCAACUUUUUUUUUAAUACAAGACUGGAAAAAAGUGCUAAGUCAUUUGGCACCUCCUUACAAAUAUUUUUCAUGGUCACAUUCAUUAAAUGUUGCUACAUUUCUGAAUUUUUGCAAAAAUGUAUUUUAUCAAAAUAGAAUGGCAUUAUUUUAAAGAGUUGGAAAAACUGACAUGGUCAAUUCAGAAAAUGAACUGAAGUCUGAAUAAGGUCAUUGCAUUUAAAACAUAUAUGUAUACUUGACUGAUGAGGGAGGUGUGACUUUCAUUGUAUAUAGGUCUUGUAAUUCAUAAACAUAUCCUGUAUCUCAGAAGAAAAAUAUUUGUUAUAUAUUUGAAGUCAUGCAUGGUAAAGGAGUGUGUUUAAAUUGUUAUAAACAAUAAUGCAUCAUAAAAGACCAUGCUGAUCUUGUGUAACUAAGUACUAUGAAUGAAUUUGGUUGGUAUUUGGUGUUGUGCAGCUCACAUGUUUACACACUCAGUGCCCUAAUUUCCCCUGAGGGAAUCACCUU